rnacentral:lncRNA from 7 species
GAGGCAAAACUCCGCUUUUUUAUUCAAUACUGAUGUUUGUGCCAUGUAUUCUUUUGAAAAACAGAAUUUCAGCAAUUACUGAAACUGUCCCAGCGGAUGGGAUCGAUGAGAACAGUUUCCUGAAUUGGUUGGGCAGGAAAUAAUUCGCAUUCACUCCCAGUCCAGAGAAGGGAUUUUGGAGGCAUAAAUGUACUGAUUUGGUCAGGACGAGGCGUCCCAUCACCGGCACAUCCAAAGGGAAAGGUUUGUCUCAGUCCAGAAGUGAUCGGGGCGGUGAUGGAACCCACUGAUGCUCCCACAACCUGUGGUGCAGAGGCCAAAUGGAAACUGGUCCCCAAGCAAUGGGCUGCAUCCCAUCUCUGCUCUGCCACCAUAUCCUAGGAGGAACAUUUUGGUAGGCAAAGGAUGAUGGAAUGAUAGAAUGGUUUGGAUCGGAAAGGACCUCAAAGACGGCUCAUGGCUGUGUGGGAUGGCUUUGUGCUGGCUGCGUGCUGGAGAUGGCCAUGGUGCCCCAUAUCCCACCCUCAGUGACAGCCCUGGCUAGGAGCAGCAGGGACCUGGGGACCCCAGGCUGCCAGCAUGGCGCAAGCAGCAAUCUGUCCCCUCUGUCCAACCUCACAGUUUCUUUCCUUGUGCAGUAACUUGAAGGAAAAUGGUGCUUCCAGCUCCUGCAGCGAUGCAGGCAGCCAGGCAGCACCUUAUGCAUUGCUCAUCUUGUUGUUCUGUUUGCAGAGGAGAAAUCCCCUCAUCGCUCCCAUCAGCCCCAUCCAACAGCAGCCACCGCAGGCAACAGGGACAGGGGAGCAGCGGGGACAGCGAGGGGACGACCCCAUGGCAGCACCCUCAGAAUCCAUGGGGAGAUGUGCCCUGCAAGGACCUGGUGCUGUGGGUUCGCGGCCACAAUUCUGGGCAUGGCUCCAGGGGAUGGGAAUUGCAGCUGCACCCCUGCGUGACUCAAUCACGGGACAGCACCCAUACUCCACCAGGGAUGCUCCAGAGCCUCCUGGAUGCGGAACAGGGCUUUGCUGACGGCAUCCCACAGACACAGUGCUGGAUCUCCCUCGGGUGACCCAUGGGGAUGAGGACACAGCUGAGGACACCACUGUGCACCCCGGGGAAGGACUGUUUGCAGCACAGCCACCACAAGGCACAGCUCUCGGUGAUGUGAGAGGACGCCGUGUGGUUUGGAUGGCCAAGAAGGGCUGGAGGAGAGCCCAGGAAUUGCCUGAAAUGUGGGCAGGGUCCGGGCAGGUCCCCUCCCUGUCCCCAGGGUAUGGGCUCACUCCAUCCCAUCGCUGGACCACGGCUGGUCCUGGGGCACAGAGCUGCUACCACUGAGCCCAAGGCACCGGGGGACAAGGCCUGCAGCAAAAGGAGGUGAAAAGGAAAAACAGCAAGAAGUGUAUUAAAGGUGUUGAAAG